rnacentral:rRNA from 1 species
GGAGUUAGCCGGUGCUUCUUCUGCGAGUAACGUCACAGAUGUAAGGUAUUAACUUACACCCUUUCCUCCUCGCUGAAAGUGCUUUACAACCCGAAGGCCUUCUUCACACACGCGGCAUGGCUGCAUCAGGGUUUCCCCCAUUGUGCAAUAUUCCCCACUGCUGCCUCCCGUAGGAGUCUGGGCCGUGUCUCAGUCCCAGUGUGGCUGAUCAUCCUCUCAGACCAGCUAGGGAUCGUCGCCUAGGUGAGCCUUUACCUCACCUACUAGCUAAUCCCACCUGGGCUUAUCCAUCAGCGCAAGGCCCGAAGGUCCCCUGCUUUCCCCCGUAGGGCGUAUGCGGUAUUAGCAGUCGUUUCCAACUGUUAUCCCCCACAAAUGGGCAAAUUCCCAGGCAUUACUCACCCGUCCGCCGCUCGUCAUCUUCAAAAGCAAACUUUUGAAAUGUUACCGCUCGACUUGCAUGUGUUAGGCCUGCCGCCAGCGUUCAAUCUGAGCCAGGAUCAAACUCUGA